GCCUGAAUCAGUGUGUGUGUUAGUGGAAGCGUCUGGAAAGGCGCGCGAUACAGGGUGACAGCCCCGUACACAAAAAUGCACAUACUGUGAGCUCGAUGAGUAGGGCGGGACACGUGGUAUCCUGUCUGAAUAUGGGGGGACCAUCCUCCAAGGCUAAAUACUCCUGACUGACCGAUAGUGAACCAGUACCGUGAGGGAAAGGCGAAAAGAACCCCGGCGAGGGGAGUGAAAAAGAACCUGAAACCGUGUACGUACAAGCAGUGGGAGCCUCUUUUAUGGGGUGACUGCGUACCUUUUGUAUAAUGGGUCAGCGACUUAUAUUCUGUAGCAAGGUUAACCGAAUAGGGGAGCCGAAGGGAAACCGAGUCUUAACUGGGCGUUAAGUUGCAGGGUAUAGACCCGAAACCCGGUGAUCUAGCCAUGGGCAGGUUGAAGGUUGGGUAACACUAACUGGAGGACCGAACCGACUAAUGUUGAAAAAUUAGCGGAUGACUUGUGGCUGGGGGUGAAAGGCCAAUCAAACCGGGAGAUAGCUGGUUCUCCCCGAAAGCUAUUUAGGUAGCGCCUCGUGAAUUCAUCUCCGGGGGUAGAGCACUGUUUCGGCAAGGGGGUCAUCCCGACUUACCAACCCGAUGCAAACUGCGAAUACCGGAGAAUGUUAUCACGGGAGACACACGGCGGGUGCUAACGUCCGUCGUGAAGAGGGAAACAACCCAGACCGCCAGCUAAGGUCCCAAAGUCAUGGUUAAGUGGGAAACGAUGUGGGAAGGCCCAGACAGCCAGGAUGUUGGCUUAGAAGCAGCCAUCAUUUAAAGAAAGCGUAAUAGCUCACUGGUCGAGUCGGCCUGCGCGGAAGAUGUAACGGGGCUAAACCAUG
rnacentral:rRNA from 1 species